GUCCUGAAUGUGUUCCCAGAAAUCCUCCUUUGAGUAAGCUGUGCUGAGCUGUACUGGUUGGGCAGUGGAUUUAGUCCUUUCUUCUCCUCUUCGUAGGCCUGUCAGCCCCACUCUAACACCAGUUCAUGGAGGCAGCUCAGCAAGUGCUUAAAUAAACCAGGACUACCUGUGGACUGGCUCUGAGAGUGAAGGAGGGGAGAAGAAGAAGAAGCAGCAGCACAGAGUUUGUUAUCAGGGACUGCACUCAGCCCUCCACAUUCUGCUGGAUUGUGCUGUCUGGGCACACACGGAGCAGAACAGAGCCCUCCUUUCCUUUUUAGUUAGUUUAGCUACAUGAGGCAGAGGAGUUCCCUGGACUGUUUUUCUUCCCCUUUUCUUGGAACUGUUCGAACCUGCUCCGGACUGGGACCCGGGGGAGCACCGAGAGCUCUCACUUUGUGGCCCACGGGGGCAGUGGCCAUUCCCAGUGCCAGAGGGACUGAUAACAGAGCGACCACCCACCGGAGAGACUUUCUGAGCUUGUCAUCUCUUCAGAGCCGUGAAAGAGUUUUGUCAUCCGGUAUUGUUCAUUUUGUGUGCUGGGGAGUGCUUUGCCUGUUUAAAUAAACAGGUUUUUUUCCACUUCUCUCUGAGGAAAUUUUUCCCCUAACUGGUUGGGGGGAGGGGCCGUGUGGGUUUGCGUUCUGGGGGGAGCCCCUUUUGGAGGUUUUCUCCCAAAUUUGCCCUAAACCGGGACAGUCCCUCAAAAAUGAACAAAAAGUGUACAGCAGAGGUGUAAUCUGAUUCAUCUGUUCCACUGGUGGUUAUCCAGGCAUAUUCUUUUUGAGAAGAAUUACCAACCAAUUGUAAGGUUUAUUUGGUUUCCUAUUAGACCAGAUCUAAGCCUGUUUUGAAUUAAAAACAAAGAUCAGGCAAGAGAAUUUAAAUGUUCCACACCAGUCCUCAAACCUCAGGAUAUUUCCUCUUUUUUACUGCAACUUUUGGUUUUCCAGGCUUUCAUUCUCCCCACAGUCUCUAUUCAAGUCAUUCCCAAAUACUCAUGAUUCUGCUUUGGUUCCUCUUAAAUCUUGGCUUUCACACAAAUCUCCAGUUCUCCCACAACUUAAGUGUAGUUUUUUUUUAACUGGUAAGUUUUUUUACCUAAAUUGUUUUCCUGAUAUAAUGUUGUUAGCACAGAAAUAUUUUGCAAGUAAAGAGUUUUGUUUUCCAAAUCCAAGGCAGGAUGCUGGUGAAACCCUGCACUGUUCUGGAGGUGAGCCUGCAAAUCUCUCCAGAGCCAAGGUCCCCAGGUAACUCAGCUCUGGGACAUACCUGACAGACAGAAGUUAGCAUCUCUGAGCUGGGACGAGGAACUUUCAAAACAUAAGAUGUUUAAAAAUUAAAAAAUUAUCUGUUUAGGCAUGGCACCCUGUCACUUGCAUGCCCUUUACUUGCUUUUGGGAGCUCAGGUGUUGAUGUGGAUGUAUUGUGUCAGACCUGGGAGCUAAACAGAUCAGUUGUUACAAGUAGCAUUUUAAACAUAGUGUCUGCUUCAGAUUUAUCAUGUGCCCUUUAAGCAAAAAAUGGGGUUAUUGGUUUUAGGAUUUGAAUGCAGCCUUGACCUUCCAGUUUAUUAUUUUAUCCCUAUGCAAUAUUUCUUGUGUCUGCUUUGGUCAGGCAGCUUUACUCAGAUUCUGAUACACACUUCAGGGAAAGUCGGUAUUCUCCAGAGAGAUGACAAUUUUAGAACUGUUUUUUAUUUUCUCCUUUGAGAAGCCAAACCUUUUCAAUUCCUAUAUAUCUGAUUGGCAGUUUGUUUUCUCUCUUUUCAGCUGCAGUCAUAGAAUUCUAAAAUCAUAGAAUGGUUUGAGUCAUAAGGGACAUUAAGGAUCAUCUAGUGCCAAUGCCCUUGCCAUGCGUGACAUUCACUAGAUCAGGUUGCUCAGGGCCCAAUCCAGACUGGCCUCAAACAUGUCCGUGGACAGGGCAUCCACAGCUCCUCUGAUCCAGAUAGGUCUUUUUUCUCCCCAGCUGGAAAUACACUUCUGGAAAUUCACAAUAUAUGGUGUUUUGCUACAACAGGUCUGAGCUACGUCACUCUGGAUCUUGGGGCAUUUCCUCUCUCAGGCUGUCUCUCCCUGUGCACUUUUUUCAUCUCUCCUCACUCCUCCAUGUUACAGCAGCAGCUAUUACCUUCUGUUUGCCCCAGCAGGCUUUGGAUGCAUUACCACCCAUUUCUGCAACACCUGUCUCAUCCCAGCUGCAGUUUGGAUGAGCAAAAGCGCUUUGGUAUGCAGUGUAGUAAGCUCCUGUGUGUCUGGAUAUUGCAGCUAGCUUAUUUUUUGUCUGCAUUCCUGUUAAGAAGGGUAGCAGUUGAAUAGGAUGAGCUAAAUAGUUGUUUGCACUGCAACAACAGGCUGACAGUUAUGUAAAAUACUUUCAUGCGCAAUCUCCUCUGAUCCUCUGCUGGUUCAGAGGAGUAUUAUGGCCAGAUUCAGCACGGAGGCUCUUGCAAACACAUUUUCAUAAACUAGGGCACUGCUAAGCAUAGAGGAGACCAAGACCAAAGUUGCACUGUUUUUUCAUCCUCAGCAUUUACCUUUUCUUUCUAGUUAAUCUCCUGUCUUCAGCAUCUACAGUUUAAUCCUGUGGGAUAAGCACAAGACCUCUUUACCAAAGUGCUUCUACAAAUACUGGUGAUACAAAUCACCUUGCAGAGGCUACUUCGAAGUGACAAGGUCUUCUGGCCAGAUCAGUAGGAGUUGCUUUAGCGUAUUAUUCUAAAAUGGGAUUAGUUAAGUAACUCUAUAGCCCAAUUGAAACGCUGAGCCCAAUUCACUUUUCUUAGCUGCCCCCUUCUCUAUACCAACUAAGUGGCACUGAUUAGGCUUUCAAUUGAGAAUUUUCUGAUAGGCUUUCAGGUCAGUUAUGGGAUCAUUUAAUGGAAUUCAACAGCAAAUUAAUACAAUGGCCAGCUAACUGUAAAUAACUCUCAUGAGCAGCAGUGGUGCACACACAAAUAUUCAAGCAGCUUCUGAAAACCAGUCUUUCUGCUGCUUGUGGAAGCAGACACCUAUUCUAUUGCACAAAGAUAAUUUACAGUCAUGGGGAAAAACUAUAUUGUAUCAUCAAUUAUGAUGUGUAAGAAAAGCAGUUGCUUUCAUCAAGAUAUAUUCAGAUGCCUUCAUCUAAGCAAAUAACUAUUUUUCAUUAGGAUUACCAGCUUAAUUUAAUUAGGAUUAAAAUUAAUGCCUGAUUUUUAUAAAUAUACAUCUGUUAGAGAGGUACCUAGUCAAACAGGAAGUCCAGUUUCUCCUAGUAUAUAUUGUCAGGAUAAACAUUGAUGUGUGGUAAAUUCAGUGAAAAAGCACUAAUAACAUGCUGAAAUAUGAAUGAAUUGCAAAAUAUCCCAUGUAAAUAAUGCUCUUAUAUUCAAUGCUAAUUUUGCAAUUCUUGCUAUGAUUUUUACCAUCAUAUUUAUUUUUUUAUUAGUCUUUUUUAAAGAUUAUUCUUUUUUAAGGAUUAUUUCUGUCAAUUCUACCUUUGAAAAGCUAUAAAAUAACUAUGAAAAUUAUUAAAUUUUUAUUAAACUAUUUUCUGUUAAAUAACAGCAAUUUUAAUUCAAAAUAACUUCAAAAUUCUGGAAAGUCAUUUUGCGUUUGUAACAGCUGUCCUCACAACAGUAAGCAGACUCUGAAUGUUUUGUUCAGAAAUAUUUUGCACACUUCACUGAGGUUUGAAUUGUCUAGGCAAGUGACUCUUAGUUAAGACUUAUUCAAAAGUCUCUUUUUAUCUGUUAUCUGUACAUGCUUUCUUUUAGUGUAUUCACUCCAGUGUAAUCAUUCAUUUUUUUCCUACUCACCUCCAAAGUAAGAGCCAUCUGUGAGCUUCAGCUCCUUAUUGGACUUGGUGAUGACACCAGCAACACCAUGUUGAAUGAAAUACAUCUUCUUACCCACGGCCCCUUCUCGGAUAAUGUAAUCUCCAGGCUGGAACACCUCAAAUCUCAGUUUGCUUAGCAUGGCAGUCACAAAAUUUGGGUCUGCAUUAGCAAAAAGAGGCAUUGUAGCCACCAGCUUCCGACAGUUGAAGUUGACAAUCUCCUAAGUGGGAAGGAAACAUCAUGAUAAUAAUGGUCAGUAAAUAUGUUCAAUAUAAUGGGCUUUGAAAAAAAGAUAUUCUGCUUUCUUAAUAAAGAAUUUCUUUAUACUCAUACUGGA